rnacentral:rRNA from 1 species
UACAGAGGGUGCGAGCGUUAAUCGGAAUUACUGGGCGUAAAGCGUGCGUAGACGGUUAUUUAAGUCAGAUGUGAAAGCCCCGGGCUCAACCUGGGAAUUGCAUUUGAGACUGAAUAGCUAGGGUGCGGUAGAGGGAAGCGGAAUUUCCGGUGUAGCGGUGAAAUGCGUAGAUAUCGGAAGGAACAUCAGUGGCGAAGGCGGGUCUCUGGACAGUUCCUGACGCUGAGGCACGAAGGUCAGGGGAGCAAACGGG